UACGUAGGGUGCAAGCGUUGUCCGGAUUUAACUGGGUGUAAAAGGGUGCGCAGGCGGACUUUGUUAGUCAGAGGUGAAAAUCCGUCACUGGCUCAACAGUGAAACUGCCUUUGAAUACUGCAGGUCUUGAAUCCGAGAAAGAGGAGUUGUGGAAUUCCGAGUGUAGCAGUGAAAAUGUGUAGAUAUUCGGAAGAACACCAGCGGCGAAGGCAGCAACUUGGUCUGGUAUUGACGCUCAGGCACGGAAAGCAAUGGGGGAAUCAAACCAGGGAGUUAGAAUA
rnacentral:rRNA from 1 species